rnacentral:rRNA from 1 species
UCCCCCAGUAGUGGCGAGCGACCGGGGAAGAGCCCAAACCGUCGGCGUUUCGGCGCCGUCGGGGUAGUAGGGCCGCAAUGUCGCACAAGCACCGUUAAGCGGAACGGACUGGAACGUCCGGCCAUAGCGGGUGAAAGCCCCUUACGCGCCGUCGGUGCUGGCGUAGCGGUUCCCUGAGUAGCGCGGGGCACGAGAAACCCUGUGCGAAUCCGCCGGGACCAUCCGGCAAGGCUAAAUACUCCCUUGAGACCGAUAGUGAACAAGUACCGUGAGGGAAAGGUGGGAAGCACCCCGUCGAGGGGAGUGAAAGAGACCCUGAAACCAUGCGCCUACAAGCGGUCGGAGCACGCAUGUGCGUGUGACGGCGUGCCUUUUGCAUAAUGAACCUACGAGUUGCCGUCGCCGGCGAGGUUAACCGUGAAGACGCGGGGAGCCGCAGUGAGAGCGAGCCUGAAGAGGGCGCAUAGUCGGCGGUGGCAGACGCGAAACCAAGUGAUCUACACUUGGCCAGGGUGAAGUCCCGGUAACGCGGGAUGGAGGCCCGAACCGAUAAGCGUUGAAAAGCUUCCGGAUGAGCCGAGUGUAGGAGUGAAAGGCCAAUCAAACUUGGAGAUAGCUCGUACUCCCCGAAAGGCAUUUAGGUGCCGCGUGGGGUGUUCCGGGCGCGAGGUAGAGCGACCGAUAGGACGCGAGGGCUUCACCGCCUGUCAAGUCCUGACGAACUCCGAAUGCGCGUCCGCAGAAGCCCUGCAGUAAGGGGGCGGGUGCUAAGGUCCGCCCCCGAGAGGAGAAGAAUCCAGACCGCCGUCUAAGGCCCCGGAAUUCUGCCUGAGUUAGUCUAACGAAGUGUGCCCCCUGGGACAGCCAGGAUGUUGGCUUGGAAGCAGCCAUUCAUUCAAAGAGUGCGUAACAGCUCACUGGUCGAGGGGGCUCGCGUGGAUAAUAAUCGGGUAUAAGGCAGAUGCCGAAGGCGCGGGAUAUCGAAAGAACGUAUCGGUAGGGGAGCAUUCCAGGUGCGCAGAAUGCAAGGGGCGACCCAUGCUGGAGCGCCUGGAAAGGCAAAUGUAGGUAUGAGUAACGACAAGGGGGGCGCGAACCCCCCCCGCCGCAAGGCCAAGGUUUCCCGGGCGAUGCCAGUCAUCCCGGGGUAAGUCGGGCCCUAAGCCUAAGCCGAAUGGCGAUGGCGAUGGCAGACACGGUUGAUAUUCCGUGACUGCCCGUGCGGGCGAUGCGGCAACGGAGAAGUGACACCGCCGCGCGCAGACGGAACUGCGCGUUGAAGGGUGUAGGCGUCGAGGGGCGCAGUCAAGCACACGCCCCGAGCCGAACCUGAGAGUACGGCGCUCCAUUCGUGGAGGGCCGAGAGUGCGGGUAAUCCGGCUCCCAAGAAACCCCGCUAAGCUUAACCGCACGGGCACCCGUACCGCAAACGGACACACGUGGCCGGGUAGAGCAUACCAAGGCGUUGAGAGACUCAUGGUCAAGGAACUAGGCAAACCAGCCCCGUAACUUCGGGAGAAGGGGUCCUCCCCCUGUGGGAGGCGCAGCGAACAGGCCCAGGCAACUGUUUACCAAAAACACAGGGCUGUGCAAACUCGAGAGAUGAAGUAUACAGCCUGACACCUGCCCGGUGCCGGAAGGUUAAGAGGAGGCGUCACCGCAAGGGAAGCGCCGAGUUGAAGCCCCGGUAAACGGCGGCCGUAACUAUAACGGUCCUAAGGUAGCGAAAUUCCUUGUCGGGUAAGUUCCGACCUGCACGAAUGGUGUAAUGAUCCGGGCGCUGUCUCGACCAUGAUCUCAGUGAAAUUGUAGUAUCGGUGAAGAUGCCGAUUACCCGCGAUGGGACGAAAAGACCCCGUGAACCUUUACUGCAGCUUAGCGCUGACCUUGGCCAUCGGAUGUGUAGGAUAGGCCGGAGGCAAUGAGGGCGCCACGCCAGUGGUGCCGGAGCCGCCGUUGAAAUACGGCCCUUCCGCUGUCCGGGGUCUAACGCGCGAUGCGCGGACACCGCUUGGCGGGCAGUUUGACUGGGGUGGUCGCCUCCAAAAGCGUAACGGAGGCUUCCAAAGGUGCCCUCAGGCCGAUUGGCAACCGGCCUAAAUGAGUGCAAUGGCAAAAGGGCGCUUGACUGGGAGGGGGACACCCCGAGCAGGCAGGAAACUGGGGCAUAGUGAUCCGGCGGUUCCGCAUGGAAGGGCCGUCGCUCAAAGGAUAAAAGGUACUCC